CAGAGUUUCUCCCGCAUCUGCCAUCAGAGGACCGUCGCCCUCAGGAGCCCGAGCUCCCGCGGCUUCUCCGAAAUUGGAGUUCCAGAAGCCAUCCUUGGAUAACAUCUCUAUAAUCUCCUGGGAGAAUCCUUCUUCGAAGAAAUCCUCCAUCAGAGGAGAGUUCUUGGUCUCAGUCACAUCUGAAAGAGCAAGUGCAAAUGUCUCCUGUUCACUAAGGGCUGAAGUGCUGCACGAUCUCAGCUCAACGCAACCUCUGCCUCCUGGGUUCAAGUGAUUCUCCUGCCUCAGCCUCCCGAGUAGCUGGGACUGCAGGUGCCCUCCACCACGCCCAGCUAAUUUUUGUAUUUUUAGUAGAGACAGAGUUUCAGCAUGUUGGCCAGGCUGGUCUCGAACUCCUGACCUCAAGUGACCGGCCUGCCUCGCCCUCCCAAAGUGCUGGGAUUACAGGUAUGAGCCACCACGCCUGGCCCCCAUAUUCUUAACUACCAAGCUGUAUGCUCUCUGGGAUCCUUCACAAAACAUGAAUGUCACUGCUCUGCUGUAUGCCUCCAGUCUCCCCAUCUCUCCUCUCCUCCAUCAUCAUACCUUUUCCAGCCUGUCCCUUGUGCAGUUCUUGGCUCACCAUCUGAGUAUCUAUGAGACUGCUUAAAGUCUCUCUGCCUGGAAUUAAAACUUGCAAAUGAAAGCCUUCUGAAACCACAUCUUGUUCUGAAUUGUCACCUUUGCCUCUGCUCAUCUCUCCCACAGAUAUCCAGCUCACUCUCCUCACCACACUUGUGCUCAUGUUGUUCCCUCGGCCUCAAAUGCACCAACAGACAUGUAAUAGGCACCCCUUAUAUGCCAAGCAUGAUGUCAGGAGCUGGGAAUACAGGGUGAAUCAGCUAAGCCCUGCUUCCAAGAGCGGCAUGCUGUUAAAGGGGAAAGACGCUUAUGUGGUAACUAUGCAACUCAAGUGUCACUACUAGAGGAUAUGGAGGUAUAUUUGUUAGUAAAGGCAUGGCUACCUAUGUUUGGAAACAGCCAAUAUGCUGAGGUGACAGAAACAGAAAGCAGAAGUUGUGAGAGCCUGUGCAUGAGUUAGUCACCUAUGAGGAACACUGAUGUGCUGAAGAGGAGGCUGCAGAGGCCUCAUGUACACGAGCCUGAGCGUGGUGAGCCAAGAAGGGAGCUGCAGACUGACUGGAUGGGGUACAGCCUGAGAUUCCUGUGGUCUCUGGUUCAGGGCCCUGCUUCUCAUGCUGGGGACGUCUCUACCAUGGGUAAUACCCCAGGAAUCCUCACCACCUAACCUGAUCCACCUGGAGGAACCCCGGCUUGGGAGAUGGCAGGGCAGAUGCUCUUGGCAGCAUUCAGGCCUGGGCUUAAGUUACUCCCUGAUGUGGCCAUCUGCUAUGCCCCAGGGAUAGGAAGGAAAAAUGGGCCUGAAGGAAAGGAGGUAAAAGAAGUAGAAUGAGGGUCAACACACUCAGGGAGCACAAGGCAGGAAAGUAGAGAGACCAACUGAGAGAGUGGAGGGCGUACCCUUGUUGAGUCUGGAAGGAAAGAGGAGGAGCUGUGGAGAGGCACCAGGAUAACCCUGUGCUGAAGGGCAAGGUAGAGAGACCCCAGAGUGAGGGUCUAUAAAAAUGUCCUGAUCCCCCCAGCUCCCAGGACAAGGGGAUGGAAGCCAGCGAGAAGCAGAGUGAAGUCCUGAAGCUGAGCGUUGUAAUGUCUCGGUAGACCUGUGGGAAAGCUGGCUGCAGCCUCAGGAUGGAGGUCUGGAAGACAGAAGGUACACAAGGGGCCCCUCUCCAUCCACUCACCAGGGCUUGUUGCUUCUGGGCUUCCUCCUGCCAGAGGCUCCAGAUCUUCACUGCCAUCUGGGUGGGAGGUCAGGUUGGGUCUUGGGGGGUCUGCAGGGAGAGAAAAGCAUUGUCACCCAACCAGGACAUGGAGGACCAUCCAGACACUCAGUGAGAACCUCCUGGCUCUCCUGACUUUUCUAUGCUUUAUCCUGCACGUGGCUCCUGUGUGUGGACGAGGUGCUGCACUGGGCGACUCUGGGGAUGCCUGUCCUGUAGGGUUCCCAGUCCAGUGAUGGAGAGGGAGCCAAACAAUCACAAUCCAGGGUGAUCAAAGCUGUGACAGCUGGGGCUGGGGAUACAAAGGACUUGUGACAGCUCUUUAAUGGGCAGGAUCUGCCAGGUGGAGAGGCACGUACUUCCUUAGCCAUUCAUGAUUUAUUCACUGACCCAUGGGCCACACAUUGCCUGAGGCCUCCAUGGGCCAGGGACAGAAAAUGUCAGGGUCCCAGAGCCCAAGCAGUCCUGAGCCAUACCCUCCACAAGCUUCCCCAAGGAAGGGAACAGAGUCACCAUCCAGGAGGGAUACAGGCCACAGCGGAGAAAACGCCACUGCUGUCUUUGAAGACUGAGAAGCCAUGAGUCAAGCAAUACAGGUGACCUCCAGAAGCUGGCAACGGGCCAGGAAGGACUAUCUACGUGCUGGAGCCUCCAGAAGGAACAUGGUGGCCCUGCCAACACCUCGCCUCCAGCCCAGCCACAUGCAUUUGGAACUCCUGGCCUCCAGGACUGUAACAUAAUAAAAGUGUGCUGGUGGAAGCCACUGUGUUUGUGGUAUGUGUAACAGCAGCAAUAGGAAACGGAUACACUACUCAUACAUUCACACAAAUGGGUGAAGGGGCAGUCGAGGUAAACACACUUCUUACUGUGGGCUGUAGUUUAAAAAUUCAAAAAGACACUGAGGUAGGACCUCCCACGAGAUGCUUCUUAGCACACACUGGCCAGUCUGGAGAAAGUCUGCCCCAAUGUGAUGAGAUUCUAUCAAAUGAUAGUUUCCACCGUGUGUUAUCUUUUACUUCUUUCAUCUUUUGGAGUAAAUUAUUUUUCUGGUUCUUCAAAAAGAAAGAACUGAGGCAACAGAGAGGGAAAAUGAGUUAAUCAGGUGACACUGAUGGGGAGCUGGGGUGAUAUGGCCUUGGAGCUGCACAGACCUUAGCUGGAGUCUGGGCCCUGCUGCUGUCUCACUGUGUGACACUGGUGUGCAGAAGAGGGCGACACAGCAGGCUGGCUGCUCUCCUGGGAAAAGCCUGCUGGCAAGGCUGGAUUUCAGGGGGGUACCCCGUGUCUCCAGAACUGAAGAGACACGCUCCCUGGACCUAAACUGUGCAAACACGGUGGCUUACACCUGCUUUCCUUCUGGGGGGCUGGAAUUUUGGAAUGUGCCAGGCAGAGGAGCCCACAUGACCAGCCCCCAGUAAAAACCCUGGCACUGAGUCUCUGAUGAGCUUCCCUGGUGGACAGCAUUUCACACGCGAUAUCACAUUCUACAGUAUUGCUGGGGGAAUUAAGCAUGUCCCAUGUGACUCCCCUGAGAGAAUUCUGGAAGCUUGUGCCUGGCUUCCUUGGACUUUGCCCCAUGUACCUCCUCCCUUUGCUGACUGUGCUCUGAAUCUUUUCACUGUAGUAAGUCAUAGCCAUGAGUCUGACUACAGGAUGAGUCCUGGGAAUCCUAGCCAAUCACUGAAUCUGUGGGUGCUCCUGGGGACACUGACACAGCUGGGAAGGUGACUGCCACUCUUUUAACCUCAGUUUCAGACCAAUCGGCAAAAGAGGGACAACCCAGCUUCUUCAUGGGGUGACUGGAGGAUUGAACAAGCAAGUCCUAAGAGCUGCUACUCAAUCAUUCAUUAGUUUAGAGCUGUCUGCUGGGCCCUAGAGCAGGUACUGUUCGUUCCAAACACUGGGGACACGCCCUGUCCUCACACAGCUCCCGCUCUGAAUGAUACAAUGGUAGUUAGAACGUGAGGGAGCGACAGACAAGAUGAGUAGGAGAGGAGGUAUGGAGUUCUAACAGGGUCCCAGGUUAAACUUUAAAAAUGUAAGCCCUGAGAGCCGCUUAGGCAGAGGGGAGGGCAACUGGAAGACUUUGAAGUAUCAGCUUGAAGAAUGACUGACUACAAGUAGGAAAGUGGUGAAGACAAGGCUGGGGAGGCAGAUAGGGGCCAGAGCAGGGUUUCCCAGGCUUAGCACUACUGACACUGGCGUGGGCCAAUCCUUGGUUGUGGGGCUGUGCUGUGCACUGUAGGAUGUGUGGCAGCCUCCCUUGGUUCCACCAGCUAGAUGCUAGCGGCACGCUGCGCUGGCCCAAGGAGUAACAAUCAAAAAUGUCUCCACACAUUGCCAAUGUCUCCUCGGCCAGCUGAGAACUGCUGGGCUAGGUCAUGCUGAUUCUGAGGAGCCCAGGAGCCAGGACUUCACCCUGUGGGUGGUAGAGAGCAUGGGUGAUCACCAAGCAGGGCAGUGAGUAGGCCCCUGGGGACAGGCAACACUCACCCAGCAGGAAGAGGUCCUGGCAAUUGUCCAACGCUGUGUCCCAGAACGUGUCCCCCUGUUCCAGCCCGAGCUGCUCCCAGUCUCCCAAGGUGAAGUCCAUGCCGACAUCCUUGAGGGUCACAAAUUCCUGAAACACAGUACACUAUUGGUCACUCAGAGGCUGGGGUCAGGGAGGAGCCCAACAGCUCACUCAGGGCACUCCCAGCCCUCAAUCUGCCAGGGCUUUGGCAAAAACCAUCCCAUCCUCAGCCUCACAAGAAUCUUGAGAUGUAAGAGACUGGAAACCCCUGUAUUUUGUAGGCAAAGAAAAGGACCUUGACUUUGACCAGGGGACAGGAUGUCAACCGAAGUUAACACAGGUGGGACUGAACCCAGGUCUGCCUGAUCCUAAAAAUCUAUUUUACGCUUUUGCUUUAAGUGUUCAUUCAAGACUUAUUUUGUAAACUUUCAAACAUACAUACAAGUAGAGAUGUAUAUAAUUAACACCCAUGAACUCAUCACCCAGGGGUCAUCUGAUUUCACCUGUGAAUACUUCAGUAUGAACAGUAACUCCUUAAUCACUGAACACCUAGACCACAUUCAAAAUCUGUAUACAGAUUAGUCUGACAUCUCAGUGGUGUGUCUUUAUAGCUAGCUCGUCUCAAUCAGAAUCCAGGGGGCCCAUACCCUGUAACUGAUGUG
rnacentral:lncRNA from 1 species